UACGAAGGGGGCUAGCGUUGCUCGGAAUUACUGGGCGUAAAGCGCACGUAGGCGGCUUUCUAAGUCGGGGGUGAAAUCCUGGAGCUCAACUCCAGAACUGCCUUCGAUACUGGCGUGCUCGAGUCCGGGAGAGGGUGAGUGGAACUGCGAGUGUAGAGGUGAAAUUCGUAGAUAUUCGCCAAGAACACCAGUGGCGAAGGCGGCUCACUGGCCCGGUACUGACGCUGAGGUGCGAAAGCGUGGGGAGCAAACAGG
rnacentral:rRNA from 1 species